GAUGAACGCUGGCGGCGUGCCUAAUACAUGCAAGUCGAGCGAACGGACGAGAAACUUGCUUUUCUGAUGUUAGCGGCGGACGGGUGAGUAACACGUGGAUAACCUACCUAUAAGACUGGGAUAACUUCGGGAAACCGGAGCUAAUACCGGAUAAUAUUUUGAACCGCAUGGUUCAAAAGUGAAAGACGGUCUUGCUGUCACUUAUAGAUGGAUCCGCGCUGCAUUAGCUAGUUGGUAAGGUAACGGCUUACCAAGGCCACGAUGCAUAGCCGACCUGAGAGGGUGAUCGGCCACACUGGAACUGAGACACGGUCCAGACUCCUACGGGAGGCAGCAGUAGGGAAUCUUCCGCAAUGGGCGAAAGCCUGACGGAGCAACGCCGCGUGAGUGAUGAAGGUCUUCGGAUCGUAAAACUCUGUUAGUAGGGAAGAACAUAUGUGUAAGUAACUGUGCACAUCUUGACGGUACCUAAUCAGAAAGCCACGGCUAACUACGUG
rnacentral:rRNA from 1 species